rnacentral:lncRNA from 1 species
UAUCAUGUAGGUGGAGCUCCUCCCCACCACGUUAUUAUAUCAUGUAGGUGGAGCUCCUCCUCACCACUCUGUUAUAUACAACAUGUAGGUGGAGCUCCUCCUCACCACUGUUAUAUAUCAUGUAGGUGGAGCUCCUCCUCAUCACCUGUUAUUAUAACAUGUAGGUGGAGCUCCUCCUCACCACUGUUAUUAUAUCAUGUAGGGGGAGCUCCUCCUCACCACUCGUUAUUAUUAUAACAUGUAGGUGGAGCUCCUCCUCAUCACUCUGUUAUUAUAACAUGUAGGUGGAGCUCCUCCACCACGUUAUAUAACAUGUAGGUGGAGCUCCCCUCACCACUCUGUUAUUAUUAUAACAUGUAGGUGGAGCUCCUCCUCAUCACUCUGUUAUUAUUAUAACAUGUAGGUGGAGCUCCUCCUCACCACUGUUAUUAUAUCAUGUAGGUGGAGCUCCUCCCACACCUGUUAUUAAACAUGUAGGUGGGCUCCUCCUCACCACUGUUAUUAUAUCAUGUAGGUGGAGCUCCUCCUCAUCACUCGUUAUUAUCAUGUAGGUGGAGCUCCUCCUCACCACUGUAUUAUAUCAUGUAGGUGGAGCUCCUCCUCACCACUGUUAUUAUAACAUGUAGGUGGAGCUCCUCCUCACCACCUUAUUAUUAUAUCAUGUAGGUGGAGCUCCUCCUCACCACUCUGUUAUUAUAUCAUGUAGGUGGAGCUCCUCCUCACCACUCUAUUAUAUAACAUGUAGGUGGAGCUCCCCCACCACUGUUAUUAUAUCAUGUAGGUGGAGCUCCUCCUCACCACUCUGUUAUUAUAACAUGUAGGUGGAGCUCCUCCUCACCACUGUUAUUAUAUCAUGUAGGUGGAGCUCCCCUCACCACUGUUAUUAUAACAUGUAGGUGGAGCUCCUCCUCACCACUUAUAUUAUACAUGUAGGUGGAGCUCCUCCUCACCACUGUUAUUAUAUCAUGUAGGUGGAGCUCCUCCUCACCACUCUGUCAUUACUACAUAUAGACCCUACUUUACGGACUUUAUUGUCCCCAUGGGGAAAUGUUGUUCCAGUGUCAUGUACACGUUUAGAGUGGUGUUUAAAUACCAAAACAAAUGGACAACUUUCAUAACAGUUACAGAACAAUAA